AACAAGGAUUCCCCUAGUAACGGCGAGUGAACCGGGAAGAGCUCAAAUUUGAAAUCUGGCGUGCUCAGUGCGUCCGAGUUGUAAUCUAUAGAGGCGUUUUCCGUGCCGGACUGUGUCCAAGUCCCUUGGAACAGGGUAUCAAAGAGGGUGAUAAUCCCGUACUUGACACAAUGACCGGUGCUCUGUGAUACGUCUUCUACGAGUCGAGUUGUUUGGGAAUGCAGCUCAAAAUGGGUGGUGAGUUCCAUCUAAAGCUAAAUAUUGGCGAGAGACCGAUAGCGAACAAGUACCGUGAGGGAAAGAUGAAAAGCACUUUGGAAAGAGAGUUAAACAGUACGUGAAAUUGUUAAAAGGGAAACGAUUGAAGUCAGUCGUGACUGAGAGGCUCAGCCGGUUCUGCCGGUGUAUUCCCCUCAGUCGGGUCAACAUCAGUUUUGUUCGGUGGAUAAGGGCAGCUGGAAGGUAGCACCCUCGGGUGUGUUAUAGCCAGUUGUCGCAUACAUCGGAUGAGACUGAGGAAUGCAGCUCGCCUUUAUGGCCGGGGUUCGCCCACGUCCGAGCUUAGGAUGUUGACAUAAUGGCUUUAAACGACCCGUCUUGAAACCGGGGAACCACAU
rnacentral:rRNA from 1 species